rnacentral:rRNA from 1 species
GACGAACCGAGCGAACGUUGUUCGGAAUCACUGGGCGUAAAGGGUGCGCAGGUGGGUUGGCAAGUUCGAUGUGAAAGCCCCGGGCUUAACCCGGGAAUGGCAUUGGAAACUGCUGAUCUGGAGGAUCGGAGGGGGGACUGGAAUUCUUGGUGUAGCAGUGAAAUGCGUAGAUAUCAAGAGGAACACCAGUGGCGAAGGCGAGUCCCUGGACGAUACCUGACACUGAGGCACGAAAGCCAAGGGAGCAAACGGG